UUUAAUUGAAGAGUUUGAUCAUGGCUCAGAUUGAACGCUGGCGGCAGGCCUAACACAUGCAAGUCGAACGGUAACAGGGAGCAGCUUGCUGCUCUGCUGACG
rnacentral:rRNA from 1 species